GAAAGAGAAGAAGAGCGAACGGGGGAUGCCUAGGCUUCCGGAAGUGAAGAAGGACGUGGUAAGCUGCGAAAAGCUCCGGGGAUUUGCAAACAGGAAUUGAUCCGGAGAUGUCCGAAUGGGGGAACCCGCCUGGCUGAAGGCCAGGCACCGCGACAACGCGGAGCGUACGCAGGGAACUGAAACAUCUUAGUACCUGCAGGAAGAGAAAGAAAUAUCGAUUCCCAAAGUAGUGGCGAUCGAAAUGGGAAGAGCCUAAACCAUAUGCGUUACGGCGCAUGUGGGGUUGUAGGAGUUAUCACAAAGACAUAUCAAGGAACUGGAACGAUCUGGAAAGUUCGUCCGCAGAGGGUGAAAGGCCCGUACAGGUAACGAGGAUAUGUUGAGAUGACCACCUGAGUAGGGCGGGACACGUGGAAUCCUGUCUGAAUCUGCGGCGACCAUGCCGCAAGGCUAAAUAUAACCGGAAGACCGAUAGUGGACCAGUACCGUGAGGGAAAGGUGGGAAGCACCCCGAGAGGGGAGUGAAAAAGAACCUGAAACCGUUCGUUUACAAGCGGUCGGAGUCGAGAGACGACGGCGUGCCUUUUGCAUAAUGAGCCUACGAGUUGCUUCAUAAUGGCGAGGUCAAGUCCUUCAGGGACGAAGCCGGAGCGAGAGCGAGUCUGAACAGGGCGUUCAGUCAUUAUGAGCAGACGCGAAACCUAGUGAUCUACCCAUGACCAGGGUGAAGGCGCCGUAACAGGCGCUGGAGGCCCGAACCAGUUUCCGUGAAAAAGGGCUUGGAUGAGUUGUGGGUAGGAGUGAAAGGCCAAUCAAACUGGGAGAUAGCUCGUACUCCCCGAAAUGUCUUUAGGGACAGCCUCGGUUGUGUCUGCGUGAGGUAGAGCUACUGAUAGGAAGAGAGGGCUUCAUCGCCUAUCGAUUUCUGACAAACUCCGAAUGCGCGCAGAUUAGAGACCGGGAGUGAGUCGUCGGGUGCUAAUAUCCGUCGGCGAAAGGGUAAGAGCCCAGACCUUCAGCUAAGGCCCCCAAGAACAGUUUAAGUUGAGACGAAACGAAGUGACACCGCUAAGACAGCUAGGAUGUUAGCUUGGAAGCAGCUAUUCAUUCAAAGAGUGCGUAACAGCUCACUAGUCGAGCGGUGAUGCGUGGAUGAUGAACGGGCAUCAAAACUGUCGCCGAAGCUAAGGACGCGUACGUCAGUAUGCGUGGUAGGGGAGCAUUGCGGACAGCGUCGAAGGUGAACCGUGAGGUUUGCUGGAGCGUCCGGAAAAGAAAAUGUAGGCAUAAGUAACGACAAUGGACAUAGAAAAGUCCACACCGAAAACCCAAGGUUUCCUGAACUACGUUAAACGGAUCAGGGUUAGUCGGGACCUAAGUGGCAGCCGAGAGGCGAACACGAUGGAGAAUUGGUUAAUAAUCCAAUACUCGCUAUACAGGAGAAUCAGAGACCGAGGAGUGACACUGCCGCCGUCUGACGGAAUAGACGGUUAAAGGGGUUAGGGAGACUGAGCCCCGACAGUACCGCGAGGCCACGGCCGAGCGGAUAGCGCAGGUAAGCAGACUUGCAAGAAAAUCUGAUAUCGUUAAGAGUAUAGGGACCCGUACCGUAAACCGACACAGGUGGGUGAGGAGAGAAUCCUAAGGUGCUCGAGUGAAUCAUGGCUAAGGAACUAGGCAAAUUGACCGCGUAACUUCGGGAGAAGCGGACCCUGGCGACAGGGCGCAGAGAAAUGGCCCAGGCGACUGUUUACCAAAAACACAUGGCUAUGCUAAAUCGUUAAGAUGACGAAUAUGGCCUGACACCUGCCCGGUGCCGGAAGGUUAAGAGGGGAGCUCAGCGCAAGCGAAGGCUUGAAUCGAAGCCCCGGUAAACGGCGGCCGUAACUAUAACGGUCCUAAGGUAGCGAAAUUCCUUGUCGGGU
rnacentral:rRNA from 1 species